CGCCUCUUCCUAAUAAUCAACCCCUUUUGAGUAAACACAUGCUGCAAACUCUUAUGGUCUAAAUUAAUGUCUACAUACACUCCAUACAAGUAAUGGCGCCAAAUUUUCAAAGAAAAAACACAGAUUCCAAUUCUAAAUAAUGAGUCAGAUCUUCCUUUCAUAAACCUUAAUUUGUCUGGAAAUAUAGGCUACCUUACCAUAUUGCAUCAACACACAG
rnacentral:lncRNA from 1 species